rnacentral:tRNA from 1 species
UCUAAAUAGUUUAAAAAAAAUUUUGUCUUGUGGAGUCAAAGAUAUAUAAAUUAUAUUUUAGAUAA